UACAGAGGGGGCAAGCGUUGUUCGGAAUUACUGGGCGUAAAGAGCGUGUAGGCGGCCAGGUAGGUCGGUUGUGAAAACUGGAGGCUCAACCUUCAGACGUCGACCGAAACCAUCUGGCUAGAGUCCGGGAGAGGAGAGUGGAAUUCCGUGGUGUAGCGGUGAAAUGCGCAGAUAUCAGGAAGAACACCCGUGGCGAAAGCGGCUCUCUGGAACGGUACUGACGCUGAGACGCGAAAGCGUGGGGAGCGAACAGG
rnacentral:rRNA from 1 species